GGAUGAGCUCAAGCUUAAAAUCUCCGUGCAAUUUUUGCGCGGCGAAUUGUAGUCUAUAGAAGCGUGGUCAGUAUGAGCACUUGGGUUAAGUUCCUUGGAAGAGGACAGCAUGGAGGGUGAUACUCCCGUUCAUCCCUAAGUUGCUUGUGCGUACGACCCGUUUUCUUUGAGUCGCGUUGUUUGAGAAUGCAGCGCAAAGUAGGUGGUAAAUUCCAUCUAAAGCUAAAUAUUGGUGCGAGACCGAUAGCAUACAAGUACCGUGAGGGAAAGAUGAAAAGAACUUUGAAAAUAGAGUUAAAGAGUACCUGAAACUGCUGAAAGGUAACCAAAUCGUUUCCAGUGUCUAUAAUCCGUAGUAUAUUUCAUUGACGAGCGUGUGCGUGCGUGUGCUGUUGCAGUGGCCUUUUGGCUGCGCUCGGCGUGUGUGCUGUGUGUGCUUGCUGGUGCCCUGUGCUACGGUGGGACGUCAAGGUCAGUUCGUAUGCUGCGGGAAAUGGCCACUGAGGAGGUAGGGCUUACGCUUGCGUUUGUCUGUUAUAUCUUGGUGGACGAGUAGUCGCGGUUGGGACUGAGGUGCCUACAACGUGCUUUUGAGUGGACUUGGGUCUCCGUGUGCGCCGUGUGCGGAUAGCUUGCUAUGCGUGUGUGAUUGUGUAUGGAUUGAUGCGAGUCGUAACUUGUAGCCGUUCGGGACGUUGACG
rnacentral:rRNA from 1 species